GCCACAUCUCCAGCACACAAGAACUUCCAAACACCUGAACCGCAGCAGCCAGGUGUUCCUCCAGAACCUCCUCCCCCAGGAGCUUGCUACACGUGCCGGAAAUCUGGCCACUGGGCCAAGGAAUGCCUGCAGCCCGGGAUUCCUCCUAAGCCGUGUCCCAUCUGUGUGGGACCCCACUGAAAAUUGGACUGUUCAACUCACCUGGCAGCCACUCCCAAAGCCCCUGGAACUCUGGCCCAACGCUCUCUGACUGACUCCUUCCCAGAUCUUCUCGGCUUAGCGGCUGAAGACUGACACUGCCGGAUCACCUCGGAAGCCCCCUAGACCAUCAUGGACGCCGAGCUUCAGGUGGUUUUCAUGGAGACAAAAGGUGGAGAAGGACAGUCCCGUGAAGUGGAUGCAACAGUUGAAGGUAACAGUAAGUCUUCAUCAAGAGCCAGACAUGCCUUAGAAUAACAGCAGGUGAAGAGAGAAAAAGUACAGGAAAACAAACAAGGAUGGAAGUAUGGUACAGGAGGGUGCACAGUGAAUAGAAGAAAAUGCUAUGGAAGACUACUCCUCACCGAGCAAAACCCGACUAGGUGGAACGUGGACUGAAGGUGGAGAUGAAUUCAAGAGUUUUACGGAGGGCACCUGUCACCUAAUCACAGCGCCAACGACGCUACCAAGAAAGCAUCAUGGCCUUUUCUUUUACAGGCACUUUGUUUACAGGACAAAUCAAGGAAAUCAAGGAAAAGGCAUCUUUUCUCUUCCAGAUCACUUUUAGAAUCCAAGAUUUGGUACACUGGGACAAAUAAAAACACAUAGCUAUGAAAGGGUCGAUGAGAUCCCAUUUGUAACUUGGCUAAAUAGAGUUGUUUCAGUACCUGACAACUUGAGUUCAAUCUGUAUUAUUCUGAAUGUAUAAUUGAUGUGGCCAUCAGUUUCCAGUAAAGGAACUUUUGUUUUGCUUUUUUCCCCCCACUUUCCCUCAGAAGGAAUGGCUUUCUCAUUAGGAAAUGUUCGCAUGCCCUCAGAAAAGGUGUUUGGAAUAGAAAGACUCCCCGGAAUCAGAUUAAAAUGCCAGCAGAGUUGAGUAUGUUCUUCCCCAUUUUGAGCUAGUUAAAUGAGAACUCACGCCAUUCUCCACACAGGGAACUUCUUAGGUAAAACUAUUAAAGCCAUGGAACCAUUUACUUAGUGUGGUUAUUAAAAUCCUAUGGCACUCUGGUGAACAGUGCUGUGGACUGGCAGCCAGAAUAUCUUUUCCAAUUCUAGCCCCUAUAUUUCCUGGAUUUAUAGAAGCAAAGCAACUAGGAAAGCUGUAGGUCUUCUCACCCAUUUUGUAGAUAUUUGUUGAGUACCCAAUGUUUUAGGCACUGGAGUACAAUAAUAAACCAGAUCUAGCACAGUCCUUGCCUUCACAGUUCAGAGUCAUGAAGGAAACAAACCAGUAAAAAGGCAAUUGUAACGUCAUACCCAUUAGCAUGGCCAUGAUAAAAGAGAGAGAGAGAGGAGGAAAAAAAGGAAAGAAAGAAGUGUUGGUGAGGACACUAAACAAUCAGAACCCUCAUACAGUGUUGGUGUCAAUGUAAAAUGAUGCGGCUACUCUAGAAAAGUCCUCCAAAAGCUCAAUACAGAAUCAGAAUAACCAUACAAUGUAGCAGUGUCACUGCUAGGUACAUACUCAAGACCAUUGAAAACAUGGCCAUACAAAAACUUGUACACAAAUGUUAAUAGAAGCAUUAUUUAUUAAUACUCAAAAAGUGGAAACAAUCCAAAUGUCCAUCAGCUGACGAAUGGAUAUACAAAAUGUGGUACAUACAUACAAUGGAAUAUUUCAACCAUAAAAUGAAAUGAAGUACUGAUACAUAAUACAACAUGGAUGAACCUUAGAAACAUAUUUAGUGCAAGAAGACAGACACAAAGGGACAAAUAUGGUAUGAUUCUAUUCACAUAAAAUGUCCAGACUAGGGAAAUAAAUAGAGAUAAAAAGUAGAUUAAUAAUUGUCAGGGGAUUGGGGGAAGGGGAAACACGGAGUGGCUGUCAAUGGGUGUGUAUGUGGGUUCUUUUAGGAGUGAUGAAAAUGUUCUCAAAUUAUAUAGUGAUUGCAUAACCUUGUAAAUAUAUUAAAAACCACUGAAUUGUACAAUUUAAAAGAGUGACUUUUAUGUUAUGUAAAUUAUAUCAAUAAGACAAGGUAAUUAUAAUACAAUAAGAUGAUGGCCAUAUUAGAGCGUGCUAGUCUACAUGUGUGGGGGUAGUGUUGGAGAAGAGGUUCAGAAAAGCUUUCUGAAAAAAAUGACUUUUAAGCAGUGAUCACAGAAGACAAGUAGGAGUAAGAAGGAAAAGGAGGAAGAAUGGAUCAAUGUUAAAGGAACAGCAGAAUAUGCCCACGGCAGAGGGGAGAGAGCACAUGGUACAUUUGGAGGAAUAGUGGUCCUGCUGGGCUGAAACAUGGUGUUCACAGUGGAGAGAAGUAAGGCUAGGGAUAGAAGGAGCAAACCAACCAUGCUAAAGAAUUUCUACUUUAUCCUAAUUAUAACAGGAAACCCUUGAAAGAGCUAAAGCACAGGAAUGACAAGAUCUGGUCUGUUCUUCGGAAAGGUUGUUCUAAGUGCAACGCGAAGAACAGACUGGAGGUAAAGCAAGCAUAGGGGCCAAGAGAUUGGUUAGGAGGUUAUUGCACUAACGCAAGUCUGAACUGACCAAAUAGGGAAAAUUGGAAGGUACCGGGGAAGUUCUUCCAAGCUCCCUGUAAUGCUCUGCCAACUAUAACAGUACUAGGCUCUGCCAGGAAGCAAGAUGUGGUUUUAGUAAGGAGGUGGUGCCAAUGCUAAGGCUGCUAGCGAGUCUUCCAGCAGACUCUACUCCUGCUUUUGGCCCAAACUUUAUACUCAAUCUCUAGACUUGGGCUCCCUUUUCCCUCCACAAUGAACAUAAAGAUCCUCACCAUGUGCAACAGAGAGAUAGUCUACUGUAAGAGUAUGGAUUUGAGUCAGAAGCACCUAAGUUCAAAUUCCUGCCCUGCCAUUUCCAAGCUUAUGUGAUAAGAUAUACUUAACCUCUGAUCUCAGUUUUUUGAAUGUGAAAUUAGGAAGAUAGUAACAUAUCUCAGUUUUGUGCUAAGGAUUAUAUGUGAUUACAGAUGUAAAAAAGCCUUGCACCAGGCCUGCCCUUUAGUAGGUGCUCAAUAAAUGUAGUCUCUGUACUCUUUGCAUCACAAUCCUAUAGUUACAAUUGUGUUCCUAAUUGGUGGGUUCUUGGUCUCGCUGACUUCAAGAAUGAAGCCGCGGACCCUCGUGGUAAGUGUUACAGUUCUUAAAGAUGGCGUGUCCGGAGUUUGUUCCUUCUGAUGUUCGGACAUGUCUGGAGUUUCUUCCUUCUGGUGGGUUCGUGGUCUCGCUGGCUUCAGGAGUGAAGCUGCAGACCUUCACGGUGAGUGUUACAGCUCUUAAGGCGGUCCGUCUAGAGUUGUUCGUUCCUCUCGUUUGGAGUUGUUCAUUCCUCCCGGUGCGUUCAUCGUCUUGCUGGCCUCCUGCAGACCUUCACGGUGAGUGUUAGAGCUCAUAACGGCAGUGCAGACCCAAAGAGUGAGCAGCAACAAGAUUUAUUGCCAAGAGCAAAAGAACAAAACUUCCACAGUGUGGAAAGGGUCCGGACUGAGUUGCCCCUGCUGGCUGGGGCAGCCAGCUUUUAUUGCCUUAUUUGGCCCCACCCACAUCCUGCUGAUUGGUCCAUUUUACAGAGAGCUGAUUGGUCUGUUUUGACAGGGUGCUGAUUGGUGCGUUUACAAUCCCUGAGCCAGACAGAGUGCUGAUUGGUGUAUUUACAAUCCUCUAGCUAGAUGUAAAAGUUCUCCAAGUUCCCACUAGAUUAGCUAGACACAGAUCACUGAUUGGUGCAUUUACAAACCUUGAGCUAGACACAGGGUGCUGACUGGUGCGUUUACAAUCCCUGAGCUAGACACAGAGUGCUGACUGGUGCAUUUACAAUACUCUAGCUCGACAUAUAAGUUCUCCAAGUCCCCACCAGAUUAGCUAGAUACAGAGUGCUGAUUGGUGCAUCCACAAACCUUGAGCUAGACACAGGGUGCUGAUUGGUGUAUUUACAAACCUUGAGCCAGACACAAAGUGCUGAUUGGUGCAUUUACAAUCCUCAAGCUAGACCUAAAAGUUCUCCAAGUCCCCACCAGAUUAGCUAGGUACAGAGUGCUGAUUGGUGCAUCCAUGAACCCCGAGCUAGACACAGAGUGCUGAUUGGUGCAUAUACAAUCCUCCAGCUAGACAUAAAAGUUCUCCAAGUCCCCAUCCGACUCAGGAGCCCAGCUGGCUUCGCCUAGUGGAUCCUGCACCAGGGCCACAGGUGGAGAUGCCUGCCAGUCCCG
rnacentral:lncRNA from 1 species